UUCCGGUUGAUCCUGCCGGACCUGACUGCUAUCGGAUUGAUACUAAGCCAUGCGAGUCUUUGUAGUAAUACAAGGCAUACGGCUCAGUAACGCGUAGUCAACCUACCCUAUGGACAAGAAUAAUCUCGGGAAACUGAGCAUAAUUCUUGAUAGAUCAUAAUGCCUGGAAUGGUUUAUGGUUAAAAUGAUUCGUCGCCAUAGGAUGGGACUGCGGCCUAUCAGCUUGUUGGUGAGGUAAUGGCCCACCAAGGCGAUUACAGGUACGGGCUCUGAGAGGAGAAGCCCGGAGAUGGGUACUGAGACAAGGACCCAGGCCCUAUGGGGCGCAGCAGGCGAGAAAACUUUGCAAUGUGCGAAAGCACGACAAGGUUAGUCCGAGUGAUUUCUGCUAAAGAGAUCUUUUGCUAGUCAUAAAACCACUAGUGAAUAAGGGGUGGGCAAGUUCUGGUGUCAGCCGCCGCGGUAAAACCAGCACCUCAAGUGGUCAGGAUGAUUAUUGGGCCUAAAGCAUCCGUAGCCGGCUCUGUAAGUUUUCGGUUAAAUCUAUGCGCUCAACGUAUGGGCUGCCGAAAAUACUGCAGAGAUAGGGAGUGGGAGAGGUAGACGGUACUCGGUAGGAAGGGGUAAAAUCCUUUGAUCUAUCGAUGACCACCUGUGGCGAAGGCGGUCUACCAGAACACGUUCGACGGUGAGGGAUGAAAGCUGGGGGAGCAAACCGGAUUAGAUACCCGGGUAGUCCCAGCUGUAAACGAUGCAGACUCGAUGAUGCAUUGGCAUAUAGCCAGUGCAGUGUCGCAGGGAAGCCGUUAAGUCUGCCGCCUGGGAAGUACGUACGCAAGUAUGAAACUUAAAGGAAUUGGCGGGGGAGCACCACAAGGGGUGAAGCCUGCGGUUCAAUUGGAGUCAACGCCGG
rnacentral:rRNA from 1 species